CCUACGGGUGGCAGCAGUGGGGAAUAUUGCACAAUGGGCGAAACCCUGAUGCAGCGACGCCGCGUGAGGGAAGAAGGACUUCGGUACGUAAAGCUCUAUCAGCAGGGAAGAAAAGGACGUUACCUGACUAACAAUCACCGGCUAACUACGUGCCAGCAGCCGCGGUAAAACGCAGGGUGCCAGCGUUCUCCGGAUUUACUGGGUGUAAAGGGAGCGUAGACGGCAGGGCAAGUCAGGAGUGAAAUCCCAUGGCUUAACCAUGGAACUGCUUUGGAAACUGUGCAGCUGGAGUGCCGGAGAGGUAAGCGGAAUUCCUAGUGUAGCGGUGAAAUGCGUAGAUAUUAGGAGGAACACCAGUGGCGAAGGCGGCUUACUGGACUGUAACUGACGUUGAGGCUCGAAAGCGUGGGGAGCAAACAGGAUUAGAUACCCUUGUAGUC
rnacentral:rRNA from 1 species